UUUUUCUUCUAAUUUGAUUAUAUAAGCAGCCAACCAACAAUGACUUUUGCAAUUACUAUUGGUUUAUGCUCACUCCCUUACUUUUAUAGAUGAUUAUGAAUGGAUCUAAUAAUUAUUUAUGAAAUCGUUUUAAUCUCAGCUCACUUUCAUCUUAUUUUAGGUUUAAGCACUUUAGUUGUUUACUGACUCGGAAGGAGGGAGGGAGGGUUGAUUCAAGAAAAAGGCUGAGGUUUAAAAAUUGGAAGUUUUCUGCAACAGGGUUGUUUAGUUGUAGGUGGUAGGCUGAGCAAUUAGAGUGCAUUAAAGAGGAAUUCUGAAUUUGAUGCCCUAUUAGUGAGGCGAGCGAAGCUCUUGUGAAAACGCAUUAAGUAGGUGGUGAUGCUUCAUGUGAGAUGCAACUUCUAGAAUCAAGGACCGAGAUGGAUGGAGAUGAUGGAAAAGGUUGGGAGACUGUUGAUUUUUUUAGAACGAAACUUUUAAAACUACUUUG